rnacentral:misc_RNA from 1 species
AUUACCGAGUGAGGGCCCUCUGGGUCCAACCUCCCACCCGUGUUUAUUUUACCUUGUUGCUUCGGCGGGCCCGCCUUAACUGGCCGCCGGGGGGCUCACGCCCCCGGGCCCGCGCCCGCCGAAGACACCCUCGAACUCUGUCUGAAGAUUGAAGUCUGAGUGAAAAUAUAAAUUAUUUAAAACUUUCAACAACGGAUCUCUUGGUUCCGGCAUCGAUGAAGAACGCAGCGAAAUGCGAUACGUAAUGUGAAUUGCAAAUUCAGUGAAUCAUCGAGUCUUUGAACGCACAUUGCGCCCCCUGGUAUUCCGGGGGGCAUGCCUGUCCGAGCGUCAUUGCUGCCCUCAAGCCC